rnacentral:lncRNA from 1 species
CUUCUUCAGUAAACACAACAAAUAAUAGAUAUAAUCAUUAUUCAAGAAUUCCAUGAAAUCUACAAUUCAAAAAUAAUUCAGAUUUUAUAGUAAUUAAAUAACUGCAGAAAACAUUGCCAUUGAAACAGCUAAGGAUGAAAGUGCUAUUAAGAAUAAAGUCAAACCCCAUCAAUGGUAAUUCAAAAAAAGAAAGAUCCUCUUUUGACUGUGAUAUCCUGUACAAAGAUCAAUGUGUUGUAAUUCCCAAAACAACCCAACCAUCUAUCUUCAAGGAACGCCUUAACACACAUCAGAAUCACAAGGAUGAAGCAAUUGACAUGACGAUACUGCACAUGGAUAGGUAUUGAUUGGGUAAUCAAAUAUUUGGUUAAGUCAUAUGAAGUUUGUGCUGCAUUAAAAAAAAUCCAACCAAAGCACUCCUACACACAUGAAAUAAACCACAAAAAAUUGGUAUCAUAUUAAAAUGAAUUAUGC